ensembl:lncRNA PCED1B-AS1 PCED1B antisense RNA 1
GUUUUCAUUUCACCUUUCUCAGUAAUCUGGGUGUAGCUUAUUUUGACUCUUCCUUUGAUUAAACAAUUCAGACCCUUGGCUCUUAUUGUUCUUGCUGGUGUGGUAUGUUCACGGCUGAAAAGAUGGUCAGAAGGGGAAAGGAGGAAGUGAGAAGAAAGAAACAGGGAAAUGACAGAGUGUUGCUCAGUUACCCAGGCUGGAGUGCAAUGGCAUGAUCUUGGCUCACUGCAGCCUCCACCUCCUGGGUUCAAGCGGUUCUCGUGCCUCAGUCUCCCAAGUAGCUGGGAUUACAGCAGGCUGAGGAAUUACCAAGGAGGCAGGAGGUGGAGCAAAACACACCAAGCCUGGUGCCAAUCAUUGACAAUAUUAUGGUUAGUACUUACUGAGGGCUGACUAUGGUUGAAACUGCCUUUGCAAAAUUAUGACUGAGACGGUGAAAGAGAUCUAACUUAACCAACGCUAGCUAUCUUGCCUCUAACCUCCAAGCUGUCCUUGUUCAUUCCUGGGCAUAGGCUGAACUAACUUUGGGAGAAAUUUAGUUUAUAGUUUGAAACAAAGAUGAUAACAGCCCUUUGCCAAAGCAGACCUCCUUCUUGUCUGGGGACUAGAUGGCCUUUGUAGGACUAACAUGAGCCACAAGAUUAGAAAUUAUGGAUAGGAGUCAUGCAGCUGGAGUCUCCAAGAUUCUGACCCUCCCUAAACUGCUCCCAAGAUCAAUGCUUGAGAUAUUUUGCAGACCCUGCAUGUGAUGGAUCAGCUGACACCAUCCAGAUCGGUAAACUGGUUCAUCUGAUCUUGUGCCCUCCACCCAGGAACUGACUCAGCGCAAGAAGACAGCUUCGACUCCUUGUGAUUUCAUCCCUAACCAAUCAGCACUCCUGGCUCACUGGCUUCCCCCAACCCACCAAAUUGUCCUUAAAAACUCUGCUCUCCAAACGCUGGGGGAGACUGAUUUGAGUAAUAAUAAAACCCUGGUCUCCUGCA